CAAGAAGUCACAAGCAACGCUCUUCCCUGUGUUUUCCGGCUUGACUUCGCCUUAAACUGUGCAAUUACGGGUCUGGGGAUUUCGCACCUCAACACAAAUGUUUUUCCGGUCUCGAACCUGUCAGCCCACUAGUCUUCUCAUCUUCUUCUGUUGAUUUCCGUUAAACCCACAGUGAGUGAGGGGUUAGCAUUUGUCCUGUGUGACGUGGAACGACCAAAUGCCUCCUGUCCUUCAAGAGGUCGGACUAGAAAAGGAAAUACGAUCUGUAUGCAAAUAAACAAUUCCAAAAGAGACACUGAGCUGCAGAGAACUUAAGCCGAUGGCCCAACCUGACUAAAGAUGGAAGAGGACAAGGACCAGACUAGAGCCACAUGCCAUCCUCCAGGCAGCUGCUGUAUCAUCCUCCUGCCUUAUUGACUCAAAGUGCUUGUCACAGAUAAACAGGACACCUCUGGAUCAGAAAUGUGAGGAUACAGCCCACCUUUGAAGCUCCUGCUGCCUCAGCCAGUCAGCCUCCACUGGCUCGAAGCACAUUUUUUUCUUUCUUAAGAUCGAUUUAAUUUUAUGGUAUGUGCAUGGGUCUUUUGCCUGCAUAUUUGUGCACCACAUGCAUGCCUGGUGCCCACGAAGGCCAGAAGAGGGCACCAGUUCCCCUGGACCUGAAGUUACUGGUUGUCAACCACCAUGCCAGCACUGGGAACUGAACUGUGGUCUUCUGCAAGAACAGCAGAUUCUCUUAAAAUGGCUGAGCCAGCUCUCCAGCCCCACCUUUGGCUCCUGGAAGGCAUAAUGCUAUCUCUCUUCUUCCUCUCCUGCUCCCUCCCUUCCAGCCUCACUGAAUCACAGACUUUGCCCUGAGUUCUUCAGACCCCGUAAUCUCUACAGCAGGCUCCUUCGAGAUCAGGGUGGGGUGUGUGGGCAAUCAGCAAAGGUUUCCUGUGGAAUAUGAACGAGGCGUCAGGGUAAGACCCAGAGGAGGGCAAGUGUAUAAAAGUUAAGAAUGGCCUCAUUUGGGGUGGUAGAGGUAGCACAGGCAUAGGAACCCAACUUGCCUCUCCCUGAUGCUGGCCUGCUUAGGUUUCAGCAUGGCGCUUUCAGUGGUAACUGUACAGCUGCUGAGGUCCAGAGCUAAAGUUCUAACAGUCCCAGGGUGGUCUAACCCUCCCCUUUUCAACACUCGGGGAGACAGUCUGUGCUCCCCAAACAUUCAACCCCCAAUAAGGCAGUUGCAAGCCCUGGUAGUGUUGGCCAGGAGCAAAGUCCUCUACCUCUCUUGCCCCAUGCCCGUCCAUCCGUCCAGAAAACAAGCUGCAUUAAUGGUGAAUAAUCUUGCAGCUUUGAAGGAAGUACCCUGGACCCCGAGGCAUGAGGCCCAAAAGAAACCCUCUGAGGAGAGGGCCAGACAACAGCCAUCCCUCAGAGGCCUCCUUCUUGCUGCAGGCCAUGGGGCCAACAUGUCCCAACACUGUCAGGCUUCCUUGCACAAGCCAGACCUCACAGAGUGAGGGGGACACAUGAGGAGGGGACAUGAGCUCGACAGGAGGAUCGGGACUCAUCCAUCAAGAACCGUCAAACAACAGGGCCAUAGCCUGCCCCAACGCUUACCUUCUUAAAGGAGCCUUCUGCGGCUCACCCACCCCCAGCACCUUAGCCUCCUGGAAUCAAGCACAUUCCAUAAGGGGGGAUUAGAGGGUCGGCAACCCGGACUGGCCCCCAGCCUGCUCUCCCACAGCGCUAGAACCGAACAUCCCUAUACCCCCACCUUCAAAUGGAGCUGUGGUUAGGAGGCCCAAGGCAAAAUAGAAAUUGAUGGGGCCUUUCUGUCUGCCCCUGUUUUAAAGAAAAUAGCAGACUUUGAAAGGUAAUCUUUAUUACCUUUUUUUGUUGUUGUUGCUGAAAUCAGGAAAGCUGGAUUCUACUGAGGGUCUCCAAAACCUUGUUUUUGCCAGGAGCUGGGGCUGGAGAACAGGAAGUAUCCCUUACAGAGGAAUAGAGGGCAGAGGACCAGCUGGGCUGUCCUCCCCUCCCAGCCCAGCACCUGUACCUGCCGGUCCUCCUGAAGCCUGUGGGCAGCCAGCCACAGGUGCAUGAAUACAGUCCUGUUUUAUAUGCUCUUUCACCUGCCCUGACUUCAGUUACACAUGGACAGCCAUGGCCACAGAAUAUUAACUGGAAGAUUCCAGAGAUAAUUCAUGCUUUAGUUCGCCUUUAUUAUAGUCUAUCUUAUAAUUGCUCUACUCUACAUUUGGUUAUUAUUGUUCAUCUCUCACUAGGCUGAGUUUAUAAAUUAAACUUCACUUGGUCUCAGCCAAAAGGCAGUUAUAAAUUGAACUUUAUGAAUAGGGAAAAUACAGCCUACAUAGGUUUCAGUGCUCUGUUUCAGGCUUCCAUGGAGGAACCUCCCUGCCAGGUGGGACAAGAGAAGCCUUGAUUUGGACUAUGUCACCCUGAGAACAGUUCAAUCCCGAGCCUGGCACUUGCUCACUGAGACAUCAGAAGGGGCUUGGGUUCAAAUCCUGGCUCAGCCUGCUGCUGCCUGUUGACAGCUACUUGGAUUAUCUGAACCGCCCUCAGCCAGCAAGGGUUUCUAGUACAUUCCUGUAUAGUGGAAAGCCACGUUGCCUUGCUACAAAAGAGCCCCCUGGUUUGGGUCAGUGGUGGUUGGUGGUUGGGGCAUCCUUAAGAAAGUC